GGGGUAGGGCGAAGACAAAAGGCUACGUAGCCCUUGAAACGAAGCGAAAACGUAGCUUGAAACGAAGCUAUCCAAGGACCACACUUCAAAGGGAGGGCUUCGAGGAAAAUCCGGCCAAAAACGCAUUUUUACUAGUUGUUAUCAUUCGGACUCAUGAUGUAAAGUUGACUGUAUAUUCAGCUCGAAGUCAUACACGGACAAUGCGAUCUCUGAGCUCGAUAUAAAACAUGACAUAACGGUAAAUAACCGUUGAACUAUACAUACAAGAUUUUAGCGCUCUCUAGUGGCCAACCGAAAUCGCCAAAUAAACAAACAGCAGCGAUGGCUCAAGCGAAGGACACACACAAAUGGACACCACAGGAGACCAGACGGCUCAUUAAUUUCAGGGGGACCAGGGACAAUGAGUUCCUAAAAUCGAAAAUGAUCGCCAGGAAACAGUGCGAAAUAAACCUCCAUUACUCGACUCCUGUCUUCAUCAUCCCGAAGGCCCGCUCUAUCACAGAACGCGCCUUGGAUUGGCGGUAAUUAAAGCGCUGCUGCACCCACCCAAUCACCGGCUCUUUAUAGGGAGUCAACAGACAUACGGGCGUCUGGAGGCAGGGGUACCCACCAUCACCUAAGAGCAUGUAACCCAGCGGUGGAUACCUGGCAGUCAAAUAAAAAGAACUGUUUUUCAUUACCCUUGUCCUUUAUGUUUCUUGGACGGAAUGUAACUGAUAAUUUCGUUGCUCUGUAACAUGUGCAAUGACAACAAAUAAAAUCCUAUCCUAUCCUAUCCUAUGGCAAUGUUUUGAUAUGUUGAGGGGAGUGUCUUAUGUCUGCAUUUAUUUGAAAGAGCAUAUGCACAGAAAAGCAGACGGACGGAGUUACAAUGGAGAUCCUGCGAGUU